AUUCUAAUUACCUUCUUAACUGAUAUGGAAUCAGUACUUACUUUUUCACACAAGGCUACUGAAAGUUGGCUGAUUUUUUUUUGUUUAAUAAAUAUCGACAAAGUAAAAUUUGUAUGUGUUUCUUGUCACAUGAGAUUAGUUUCAUCUACUGUUAGGACUUGGUGAGGACUAGAUGAAGGUCAGAUAUGUCUUAAUAAGUAAAACCAUUGAAUCGUAAGGGGGUGUACUUUUUUUUCACAUCACUGUAUGCCUUAUCCAUCUCGACCUUAAUUCCAGGGUGAUCAGAUUUGCCAUUUUCUAUAUACAGUAAUAUGAUUUAAUACUCUUUUGGCUCUUAUCUCCUGCCCAGCGAGUGAGAUGCUGUGUGGGUCAGUCUGACAGCGCACGCCUGGAAAAUUGGUAUUGAUGCCUGACACUGGAGCAGCAGAAUUCUCUGAAGCGCGACUGCUGCUCGUUUCCCAGCCUCCUGACUCAUCGAUCUCCGAUCGGCUCAGUAUAAACCUUCCAGGAAUCUGGAGAGAAGGAGUCCCAGUGCCAACUGAAUCAAAUGUCAUGUUAUUAAAUAUUACACUUUGGAGAGA